AUUGAACGCUGGCGGCAGGCUUAACACAUGCAAGUCGAGCGGGGGAAGGUAGCUUGCUACCGGACCUAGCGGCGGACGGGUGAGUAAUGCUUAGGAAUCUGCCUAUUAGUGGGGGACAACAUCUCGAAAGGGAUGCUAAUACCGCAUACGUCCUACGGGAGAAAGCAGGGGAUCUUCGGACCUUGCGCUAAUAGAUGAGCCUAAGUCGGAUUAGCUAGUUGGUGGGGUAAAGGCCUACCAAGGCGACGAACUGUAGCGGGUCGGAGAGGAUGAUCCGCCACACUGGGACUGAGACACGGCCCAGACUCCUACGGGAGGCAGCAGUGGGGAAUAUUGGACAAUGGGGGGAACCCUGAUCCAGCCAUGCCGCGUGUGUGAAGAAGGCCUUAUGGUUGUAAAGCACUUUAAGCGAGGAGGAGGCUACUUUAGUUAAUACCUAGAGAUAGUGGACGUUACUCGCAGAAUAAGCACCGGCUAACUCUGUGCCAGCAGCCGCGGUAA
rnacentral:rRNA from 1 species